GAUGAAGAACGUAGCGAAAUGCGAUAAGUAAUGUGAAUUGCAGAAUUCAGUGAACCAUCGAAUCUUUGAACGCACAUUGCGCCCGGCAGUAAUCUGCCGGGCAUGCCUGUCCGAGCGUCAUUUCUGCCCUCGAGCGAGUCCAGCAUCUAGGUGCUGGGCCCGCCCGGCGUUGGGCACUACGGGAAGCCCUGUGCUGUCCCCCGUAGGCCCCGAAAUGAAGUGGCGGUCCUGCCGCGGCGCCCCCUGCGUAGUAUAACAGCUCGCUUCGGGACCCGGUGGAGGCCUGCCGUCAAACCUUACUCUCUAAGUUUGACCUCGGAUCAGGUAGGGUUACCCGCUGAACUUAAGCAUAUCAAUAAGCGGAGGA
rnacentral:misc_RNA from 1 species